UUGCUGGGGUACUCGAGUGGCGAACGGGUGAGUAACACGUGGGUGAUCUGCCUUGCACUCUGGGAUAAGCUUGGGAAACUGGGUCUAAUACCGGAUAUGAACUGCCUUUAGUGUGGUGGUUGGAAAGUUUUUUCGGUGCAAGAUGAGCUCGCGGCCUAUCAGCUUGUUGGUGGGGUAAUGGCCUACCAAGGCGUCGACGGGUAGCCGGCCUGAGAGGGUGUACGGCCACAUUGGGACUGAGAUACGGC
rnacentral:rRNA from 1 species